rnacentral:rRNA from 1 species
UACGAAGGGGGCUAGCGUUGCUCGGAAUUACUGGGCGUAAAGCGCACGUAGGCGGCUUUGCAAGUCGGAUGUGAAAUCCCUCGGCUUAACCAAGGAAGUGCAUCCGAAACUGCAGAGCUUGAGUACUUAAGAGGAUCGCGGAAUUCCCGGUGUAGAGGUGAAAUUCGUAGAUAUCGGGAGGAACACCAGUGGCGAAGGCGGCGAUCUGGGAAGAUACUGACGCUGAGGUGCGAAAGCGUGGGGAGCAAACAGG